rnacentral:rRNA from 1 species
UACGUAGGGUGCAAGCGUUGUCCGGAAUCAUUGGGCGUAAAGGGCUCGUAGGCGGCCAACUAAGUCAGACGUGAAAUCCCUCGGCUUAACCGGGGAACUGCAUCUGAUACUGGAUGGCUUGAGAUUGGGAGAGGGAUGCGGAAUUCCAGGUGUAGCGGUGAAAUGCGUAGAUAUCUGGAGGAACACCGGUGGCGAAGGCGGCAUCCUGGACCAACACUGACGCUGAGGAGCGAAAGCCAGGGGAGCAAACGGG